AAGUGCUGGGGUUACAGCUGUGAGCCACUGUGCCUGGCCCAUAGAAGAUUUCAACAGACGUAAUUCCACCAGAGCAGCAAAUUCCACUGAAACAACCCAAGAGUUACAAGGAAGGGGAAAAGCCUGUGGCAGCAUUGGAAAACAGAGAACAAUAUCAUCAAGUGACCGAUAGCACAGACGGAUUUCUGAACGAAAUGAAGAUGAUGGAAUCAGAUCAACAGGGAAGCAGAUGGUGCCCAACAGCCUAGUGAUGUAACACUGGCAAGAUUCCCAAAAGUGCCCCAAAGAUGCCCAAGUAGAGGUUAAGGGAGAAGCAAGGCACCGGGUACUACUGUUUGCAGCAAACACGGAUGCUGGCCUGCCCAGGGGCCCCUCUCUCCUUUUGGAUUUUAUUCAGGAAUCAUCGUUGGUCUCAGGUGAUCAUGACACAGCUAUUCUCCUUUGCCAGUGACUGACAUGAGAUUCAGAUCUCACUAAUAAGAUGUAAGAGGAUGUCUCCUGGGAGCUUUUGGAAACUGUUUCAUCCCUGAAAAGGGAAGGCACAUGAAGAAAAAUCCAACAUCCUUUUGCUACUGACUUCUUGCUUCCUGUUUUGUAUCCUGCCAUGUGAAAAUACAGCAUUUGGAGAUGUGGCAACUUUGUGCUGGCCAUGAAGGAAUGCGUCCCCCACACGGCAGAGUACAAGGACCAAAGAAGCCAGGCCAUCGCCCCAGGCCGGCCUCCCUCACUGGAUAAACAGCAUAUGCCCUUAUGCUGCAUGAGCUGGAUUUUCCCUUUCUUGUGGCUGAAAUGCAUUUGGAUACAGUUUGUUUAUACUCAUAGAGUCACUGUAAGUCAGGGGCUUAUUGUCAGGAACUACUUAACACUUUGCUUAGGAUAUUGGAUUUAAAGAAAGGAAUUUUGGGGAAUCCAUGCUAUAGAAAUAAAAGUAUCAGUAAGUAAGAGGGGGAAACAUACAAAUUUAAAAUGUGCACAUAAGAAACUUAAUAGUAACUCCUCCCUGCUGGGGGCAUGGGAAGGGAGAAAUGAAGGAACAAUUAUUUUUCAUUUGGUACCAUUCUCUGUAUGGCUUGGAUUUUCUUGCUAUUAUUUUUAUUUGUUAAAAUCUGGGCAGUGCAAUAAUGGGGCACUUCUAUUUCUUCCGUUUUCUGUAUUUUCCAUUUCCCUCUAUUUUCUGUAUUAGAAAUACACUACUUAGCCGGACAUGGUGGCUCAUGCCUGUAAUCCCAGCACUUUGGGAGGUCAAGGCGGGCAGAUCACCUGAGGUCAGA
rnacentral:lncRNA from 1 species